rnacentral:rRNA from 2 species
AUACAUGCAAGUCGAGCGGACUGAUGGGAGCUUGCUCCCUGAAAUCAGCGGCGGACGGGUGAGUAACACGUGGGUAACCUGCCUGUAAGACUGGGAUAACUCCGGGAAACCGGGGCUAAUACCGGAUAAUUCUUUUCCUCGCAUGAGGAAAAGUGGAAAGGCGGCUUCGGCUGCCACUUACAGAUGGACCCGCGGCGCAUUAGCUAGUUGGUGAGGUAACGGCUCACCAAGGCAACGAUGCGUAGCCGACCUGAGAGGGUGAUCGGCCACACUGGGACUGAGACACGGCCCAGACUCCUACGGGAGGCAGCAGUAGGGAAUCUUCCGCAAUGGACGAAAGUCUGACGGAGCAACGCCGCGUGAGUGAUGAAGGUUUUCGGAUCGUAAAGCUCUGUUGUUAGGGAAGAACAAGUGCCGUUCGAAUAGGGCGGCACCUUGACGGUACCUAACCAGAAAGCCACGGCUAACUACGUGCCAGCAGCCGCGGUAAUACGUAGGUGGCAAGCGUUGUCCGGAAUUAUUGGGCGUAAAGCGCGCGCAGGCGGUCUCUUAAGUCUGAUGUGAAAGCCCACGGCUCAACCGUGGAGGGUCAUUGGAAACUGGGGGACUUGAGUACAGAAGAGGAAAGUGGAAUUCCACGUGUAGCGGUGAAAUGCGUAGAUAUGUGGAGGAACACCAGUGGCGAAG